CGCAUCUGUGCAUGCAGCAUAUCAAUAAGCGGAGGAAAAGAAACUAACAAGGAUUCCCCUAGUAACGGCGAGUGAAGCGGGAAGAGCUCAAAUUUGAAAUCUUAAAGGGUUUCCCUUUACGAAUUGUAGUUUAAAGAAGUGUUUUCUGUUGAGGUUUUGGUAAAAGUUCUUUGGAAUAGGACAUCAUAGAGGGUGAGAAUCCCGUAUUUGACCUUUACUUUCAACUUUGUGAUACACUUUCAAAGAGUCGGAUUGUUUGGGAAUGCAGUCCAAAAUGGGUGGUAAAUUUCAUCUAAAGCUAAAUAUUGGCGAGAGACCGAUAGCGAACAAGUACCGUGAGGGAAAGAUGAAAAGAACUUUGAAAAGAGAGUUAAACAGUACGUGAAAUUGUCAAGAGGGAAGCGUUUGACACCAGUGUUGUUUUUCUGAAAAUCAAUUAAAGAACUGUUUAUGCUAAGUUGUUUAGACUUUAUCAGCUAACUGUUUAGUUUUGAGCUUUUCUUUAAUGCACUUUUCAGUUAACAAGUCAACAUCAAUUUCUUUUGCUGUAAAAAAGCUUGAGGAAGGUGGCUUGAGAUUCGUCUUAAGUGUUUAUAGCCUCUUGCCUAUGCAGUCGGAGAGAUUGAGGUCUGCAGCGUAGAUCCUUCGGGGCUAAAUGCAUUUGUGCUAAGUUAUAACAUUUUAUAGACAACUUGUUGACUAUGAUUUGUCUUGUAGCUUACUCGCUUAUGUUAUUUUACCUACGCUUAGGAUGUUGAACGCGCACAGAGUCUC
rnacentral:rRNA from 1 species